AUCCAGCUGAUGAGUCCCAAAUAGAACGAGACUUGCGUCCUGGAU
rnacentral:hammerhead_ribozyme from 1 species